CACGGCAAGCUCGGGCUGCUCCGCCUCGGGCCUCCUGCGCGCCGUCACAGCGGCUCCCGCGCAGCCGAGGGCUCCUCUGCAGAAGUCCUGAAGGAUGCGGAGCUACACCGCGGGCUUGUCUACUCCUGCCGACGGUGACGGCGCCCCCGCAGAGCCCCUUUCCCGCUCUGCUGUGGUUUGGAAGAGGGAGGCUCCAGUCCGUCCGCAGAGGACGAGGCCGUGGGUUCGAGAAAUCCUCGUAGUGCUUCCUAGAGUUAACGCGGAGAAACAAGUUAAACCAGAAGCAACUUUAAAAAAUCUUCUAAGUCUGGUGGGCGUGUCCAAUGGUUUUGAUGUCAAGAUGAUGACAAAUUCUCUCCAGAGAUGGUAUAAAAUCCAACCAUUGACAAGCAGAAAUUCCUGGAAUCUUCUACCACUCUACAGCACUAGUCUAAAAGAACACAGCUUUUAG
rnacentral:lncRNA from 1 species